CAGUCGCCGCGGGAAUACGAAGGGGGCUAGCGUUGCUCGGAAUGACUGGGCGUAAAGGGCGCGUAGGCGGCGGCCAAAGUCAGGCGUGAAAUUCCCGGGCUCAACCUGGGGGCUGCGUUUGAUACUUGGUUGCUUGAGUGGGGAAGAGGGUCGUGGAAUUCCCAGUGUAGAGGUGAAAUUCGUAGAUAUUGGGAAGAACACCGGUGGCGAAGGCGGCGACCUGGUCCUUUACUGACGCUGAGGCGCGAAAGCGUGGGGAGCAAACAGGAUUAGAUACCCGUGUAGUCCCUGUCUCUUAUAU
rnacentral:rRNA from 1 species